rnacentral:tRNA from 1 species
GCGGACAUAGCUCAGCAGGUAGAGCGCGAGCCUUCCAAGGUCAAUGUCGCCGGUUCGAUGCCGGCUGUCCGCU